UCUAAUAUGGCAGAUA
rnacentral:tRNA from 2 species